CACUGAAAUUGACAAAAAAGAAAAUCAAUUGGUAACAGUCACUGUGCCUGCAGCAAUCAAGUGUCGCUGGUCCCUCCGGCCAUUUGGGGAGUACUCUGGAGCCCUGUUGUCAGGGGAGUGAGUGGGUGGUUCCAGCCGCAGAGGGCUCUUUGCGCCUCACCUGAUCCCACAAUGGGGACAGAGCUGAGCCCCCUGGCUGGGACUGCAAGGGAAGGACGACAAGCCUCUGACUGUGGGGGAGGCCAACGCACUGCCGAAUGGCUCCUGCAACAGUUCAGGGAGCCCUCUACAGCCUCAUAGCACGGACCUGCUUUCUCACACACCAGCUGAGAGUGCCAGGAGACUGCAUUUUUCCCUACAUCUUGCAACUGUAGGGAUUGGGUAUCACCAGUCCUGUGGCCAUGUAGGGAGCCCGCUGCAACUUCGCUGUCUCAGCCCCACUCCCUUACUUGUGUGACUGCAGAGUUGCAGAGGGCUCUCUAGACAGCUGCAGCACCAGUGACACCCAAUCCUUGCAGGCAUUAGGUGCAGGGGAGGCUGCAAUUAUCCUGGCCCAUUGGCACAGAGAUCCCUGGCCAGGAUUGCAAAGCAGGACCUCAAGCUCCUGGCUGUGCAGGAGACCACCCUGUCGUUGAAGAGUUCCUGUCUGGGGAUAGCUCGCACGUUCCUGUCUGGAGAGUGAGUAAGUGGGGCUGAUGACACCGAAUCACUGCAGGCACAAGAUGUAGGGAAAGCUGUGAUACUGGCCUGGCAGACUAGAGACCCCUGGCCGGGACUGCGACGAGGAGUCAGUAUUGUCCCCAGCCAGGGAGGAGGCUGCCCCAUUGCUGAAUGGCUCCAUUGCUGGGCAAGAGCCAUUUAGCAGUGGGAUGGCCUCCCACAGAGCCAGGGAAUCGUCUUUGUCCUCCUCCUCGUUCCUCCUUGCAGUCCUAGAUGGGGGUCUCUGCUGUGCCCCACCAGGACCCCAGCUUUCCUCGCACCUUGUGCCUGCAGGGAUCCGUUGUCACUGGCCCCACGGCCUUGCAUGGAGCCCUCUGCAGCUCUGUUGUCAGAGCCCCACUUGUUCAUUCACCAGCCCAGAGCAUGGGAGCCAUCCCCAAGCAGGAACAGUUCAGCAGUGGGGCCUGCCUCAUGACCUGGGGCUAAUCCUUACCCUGGCCAGGACUGAAGGAGAUCUCCACUGGGCCAGGAUGACUGCAGUCUCCCAUGUACCUGGUGUCUUGGGCCCCUCAGCUGCAUAGGAAACCUCCUGCAACCCUGCUGUUAGCGCUGCCCUAACCCUAGCCCUACUCCCCACAACAGUAAAAAUAAAAAUAAUUUAAAAUAGGAAAAAACCCUUUUUUAAAAAAAAAUAAAUUUAUUUUCAACAAUAAAAAAUAGAAAAAAUUGAGUUCUGCCAGCACUAAAUGUAACCUAGGUUUGUAUGUGAUGCAUAAUGACAUUUUUUAGAAGUCUCUAGGGAGGAAGGAGGUUUUGAGAUUAAGGUGUUAAAGUGGAUUUUGGGAGAUCUGGAUUCAGUUUUCAGCUGUAUCACAGACUUCCUUCUUUCAUGACCUUGGGCAAGUUACUUAUCUCCUGUCCUCUGAGACAAUUGGGGUGUAGGUAUUACCUUAUCUCACAUAGGUGUUGUGAGGAUAAAUCCACAGAUACUUGGGAGAGGCUCCAAUGCUGUUGUGAUGGGUGUCAUAUUAGUACCUAGACAGAUGCUUGAAAACUUUAGACCUGUUCCUGCAACUACCUCAAUGUGAACAGGAUUGGGGCCUUAGUCAUAUUGUGAUGUUGUUGCCCUGCUUCUUUAUUGUACAGACACUUUUAAAAUCAUAAAAUGUUAAAAUAACACCGUUUUUUUUAACAACUGUAUCAGGUUAGUUUGUAAACAAAAUAUGUUUAACUGAAGUGUCGUAGUCCCCAGAUGGCAUUGUUUUAUAGUCACAGUGUUCUAAGUUGCUUAGGCAAUUCUGAAAAUUUUAUCCAAGAAUUUUACUUACUCUCAAAGGCAUAAUGCAUUUUUAAUGAGAUUUUUAAAAAGCAGUAUAGACUAUAAAACAAACACUGUUGUAAGGUGACUUGAGCAUUUAACUCGCUUAACAAUCACUUAUUGUCAACUUAGAUGUAGGCACAGUACUAUUUUCCAGGUAUCUGUUUAUGUGCAGGUAGCCCAUAAUUCGUAGGUCACGCAGUAACAUGUAAAGAAUCUUGUGUUUUGAAACAGCUAGACUAAGCAAAUACAAAAGCUCUAAUGCUUUGUGUAUGUUGGCACUUAGAUCAUGUUAGUGAAUCUAUUUUUACAGUUUUCAAAUGGUUCCUGCUAAUUUGGUGUAAACAUAGUUGGCCUGGCCAUUGUGAUAUGGUGAUAAGAGUAUUAAAGCAGUUAUGGUUGUAUCAUAGUAGCCAGGCAAAACAUAUUUACCUCAUUUUGGCAGGAAUAAUUUUGAACUUGUUUUAAAACGGCUCUGGCUAGUAUGGUUUUUAUGUCCAUGAAUAUGGGCCUAAAUUAAGAGGUCUUAAACUGGUGCAGGCAGUACAAAAAUAACUGGAAUCCAAGGUGUGCAAAACAAUUUGGCCUGGAUUUUCGAGAUUGGGUAUUUUAAGUUAGGCUCUAAGUGCUGGGUUUUAAAAAUCUCAGCAUCUCUUGGAAAAUAGGCCACUUAUUUAUGCAUUUAUAUGAGGAUUAGGUACCUAACUCUAGGCAUCCACUUUUAAAAACCUUGCCCGUGAUUUUGUACCUUUGAAAGAGAAGUGGUCGGGUCUGAUUUCUAAAGUGCACUAAGAUGCUGUGCAUUAAUUGGUCUGUGUAGAAUCUGCUGGUAUGCUUUAACAGCAUGCUUUUGUAUUAUGUGAAAGCUCACUAGGGAACCUUUAGUGUGCACCAGCAGGAUCCACAGGGAUAAAUUGAUAUGCUAGAGCGCUUUAGAAAGCACACCUCUGUAGACCACAUUACGCCACUGUUUAGACAAACCCUAAAAGUAAAUUACUACUAUAGUAGUCAAAUCAGGGCUUUGGAGCGGAGCUGGAGCAGUGGAGCUGCAGGCUUUUGCCUGGAGCUGGAGUGGAGCCGGAGCACAGCUCCAAAGCCCUGAGUCAAAUAGGGAUUUGUUGGAAAGGGGAAGGAAGGAAUCCAGUUUAUUGGAUUGUCUGAAGUCAUGGAUUUUCACCUUCUUUAUUUUGGGCAUUUUCAACUACCGAGUUCUGUGUUCACUUUCCUGGAUGAACAGCUGCAUCUAGUCUGUGGAAAGGAGAGUUGGGCUACUUGGACAUCAAUGCUACCUUUUGGUUAGAUGCAGUAGAAAGCUGGAGAGAAAUAUAAUCUGCAUGUGAUCAUAAAGACUUUCAACAUCAACUCUGCAGUGCCUCUGGCUUUGUUAGUUAAAAGCCGCUCCUGAACAUGGAUCAUGCUGGCUCCAUCGAGAUUCUUGCUGAUCCUUUGGAUUUGAAACACUGUAGAACAGGGGGUCCCAAACUCAAAUGACCAUGUGGCCAUGAGGGCUAGUUCAUUGGCCCUGAGGGCCAUAUCACUGACACACAGCCCCUCGCUGCCCUCGGCCCUGCCCCCACUCCACCCCUUCCAUUAGGCCCCGCCUCUUCCCAUCCCUUCCCUGCCCCAUUCCAACCCCUUUCCUGAAGUCCGCAUCCCAACUCCGCCCCUGCCCUGCCCCCAGAGGGUGCAUGAGGGGUGUGGUGGGGGCUCAGGGCGGGGAGUUGAGGUGCAGCAGGAGGUUGGGGUGCAAACGGGGCUCAGGGCAGGGGAUUGGGGUGCAGAAGGGGUGUGGGAUGCAGCAGGGGGCUCAGGGCAUAGGGUGCGGGGGUGGGUUCAGGAAGGCUUCGGGCUCCAGGGUGGCAGCAGCGCACACUGGGGCCAGGGCAGGUUGCUGGCCCCGCUCUGCUCCGGGAAGUAGCUGGAACCAUGUCCCUGCGGCCCCUGGGGGAGGGCGGGGGGGCGCAGGGCUCGGCAUGCUGCUUGCUGCGCCUCCAGAUACCUCCCCCGAAGCUCCCAUUGGCCGUGGUUCCCUGUUCCCGGACAAUAGGAGCUGCGGGGGGACGGUGCCUGGAAGCCAGGGCAACACAUGGACGGAGCCCUCUGCUUCUCCCUUCCCCCCCCCACCCCCCACUCAGCUGCAGGGACGUGAUGCCAGCUGCUUCAGGGGGUGGUGCGGGGCUUGAGGGAGGAAAUCCUGCAGCUGUAGUUUGCCCACCCCUGACCUGGAGGUAGGCCGGAGAGGAGAUGGCCUGCAGGCUGCGUGUUUGAGACCCCUGCUGUAGAACGACUGAUGCAAAUAAUCCCUUUGAGUCUUUGGUGCCUCUUUUGUGAAUAAAGUGAGCAGGAUUUGAACUUUAGAGAGGAGAUUUCUAUUAAAUAAUAUAUUUUUAAUAAAACACCGUUUAUGGCUCUUGUAUAGCAUUUUACUGCUUGGGCAUUCUUCCUAAUCAGUAUAAAGCUGAGAGCAUGCCUUUCUUUUUAAAGAAAAACAUUUUAUGGUGAUCUGUUCCUUAAAAACCAAAUUAAAAAAAACCAAAACCUCAAAAUGUUUGAGCUAAAAAAGAAAUUAACAGAAAAUAUAUAGCUUUAAAAAUGAGGUCUGUUUUAAAUAAAGAUUUCUGCUCAUUAAGACUUGAAUUUGGAAUACUUUCCUCUGCAAAGGUUCAUGACAUCACAAACACCAAAAACAGCAUUGCAGGGAGCUGCAUCCCAAAGACAGCUUUAGGUUUUUGUUACAUGCUUUUGCAGGAGAAACAGAACUUUGAAAUCGUGUUUUGGCAUGAUUAUGAGGAAAUUUAUUUUAAAAUGUUUUGUCACUGAAUCUACAUGUAUUAAGGAUCUUAAGUUUUUGUACGUAUUUAAAAAGCACUUUGGGUCACCAUUUAAAGAGAGGACACAAUCAAUACAAAUAAUAUUCCUCUUCUUUCUUUGCUUAACUGGUCUAGAGUUGUCUGAAAUUCAGCUGUCACACUGUGAAAAACUUUUUUUUUUUAAUUGGCAGACAUAAUCUGGGUACAGAUGAAAUCUUUUUGAUGUUAAAUUUGGUUUUGAAGUACCAGAUGUGUGUGUGUGUGUGUUUUUUUUUUCCCAGAAUAAUUGUUGGCACUUUUAAAAACAAAUUAUCAGUGUUUCAACUAGCUUUCGCUAGUUAUUGAUUGUCCAGUUCUGUAUUUUUAAUCUCCCUUCUGGGCAGCCCCUCUCCACAGCUUUUCUAGAACUGAUGCUUGAUGUACAAUUGAGAUUUGAUCUGGCAUAUGCAGUAGACGGGCUUAUUGAGUGAUAUUUUGUUUAAUGUUCAGUUAAGGUUGUUGUGGAGGAUACAGUGCUAGAAGUAGCCCAGCCUGCUAGAUUUGUUCUAGAACAUUGUUAAAGAAAUAAACAGUCACUCGGUUGUGAAACAAGUCAAAGACAGCUUGUUAUCUUGGGUUUUUCCUCUACAGAUGUGUGUGUCAGAUUUUUUUGUUUAUAUUACUUGUUUUACAUGACUUAUAACAAGACAUUAAUUUUAAAAAAAAACCUUUCAGGAUAAAAUGGUUUCGUGUUCUAUACAUUGAAAUAAAUUUAUCCAUGUCACUGAAUUUCUAUACUAUAUUUGUUUCAAUUUCAACAUAUGAAACAUAAAAGAACACUGGUCUGAGACUCAUGUGCUCUUGUAAAAUACAUUUAUUGAUGUAUCAUAAACUGAAUCUUCUUUUUAAAUACUGGUCACAAUGGAUAGCCUUUUGGGGAUUGAAAGGUAUAGCACAGAUAUUCAAAGUGAGCAUUACCGUCAUUCAUGUUAAAGUGUAAGUGAUGAACAACCCUUUGCAUGCAAUCUUUUAAUUCCACUUCGUGAGUCAGAUCCUUACCCCUGCACUGACCUCUUGAUGCUGGGAAUAAGGGUUAUAGCUGUAUAAAGUAGCCAGGAUUUGGCCAGCACAGGAUUUGUGAAAGAUUUUCAAGCCCUGACUCAAGAGUGUAUGUGGGCCGGGGUGAAGACACAGUAUGAAGUGUUGCACAGAUUCCAGGCAGCACUACAGCUCAUAGGACACCCUGUGCAUGCUGUUGUUAGUUAUACAAACUUUCAAGGCUGACUAAAUUAUGCCAGGGUCACUUGAGAAGACUGGAUGGAUGUAAAGUGGCUUAAAGUCACCUUCACCACCCCACAUCCUGCGUUGUGAGUUCUGUUCUGUUUUUGAGGACAACAUAGAAUCUCUCCCCAUAGGUAUAAUGCCAUUUUCCUUUCCCUGUAGAGUGUUGUUGUUUUCCUUAAGAUGCUAAUACUGGAGAGCUCAUUUUUAACUUCUAGAAUGGCUUCGAUUAAAGGGAUUGAACUGACUGGCUGCUAGGUGGGGGAAGUUAAACUGUACGCUGAGUAAAAACUCACUUCCAGCUAUUCUGAAUCUCUUUCCCCAGUAUCCUGAGUAGUUUUAUCAUUGUGAAAUCCUUGUUUGCAGUAUAAAACGUUAUAUUUUGAUAAACUCUAAAAAUAGCAAGUUGAUUUUUCUUCUGGGUUUCUCAGAAAGUAAUUGAAAAACAUUUUUGAAACUAGGACUGCAGUGUCUAGCAGCAGUUGCUAUCAGUUUCUGAGCAUUGUCUUGUUCAGUUUCAGCAUGAAGAAUCACUCUCCCUACUUUCAUAGUCCUCUCACCGUACUCCUCCCAGGAUGAUCUGAUGAAAGGCACAUGACACUGCAUGAGUUUAGUGUUCUCAUCAGCAGAUGCAGUGAAUAUCUAUGUUUAGUUUAAAAAAAAAAAAAAAGAA